GACGAACGCUGGCGGCGUGCUUAACACAUGCAAGUCGAACGGUGAACCUCUUCGGAGGGGAUCAGUGGCGAACGGGUGAGUAACACGUGGGCAACCUGCCCCCGGCUCUGGGAUAACUCCAAGAAAUUGGGGCUAAUACCGGAUGUUCACCGCUUCCUGCAUGGGUGGUGGUGGAAAGGGUUUCCGGCUGGGGAUGGGCCCGCGGCCUAUCAGCUUGUUGGUGGGGUAGUGGCCUACCAAGGCGACGACGGGUAGCCGGCCUGAGAGGGUGACCGGCCACACUGGGACUGAGACACGGCCCAGACUCCUACGGGAGGCAGCAGUGGGGAAUAUUGCGCAAUGGGCGGAAGCCUGACGCAGCGACGCCGCGUGGGGGAUGACGGCCUUCGGGUUGUAAACCUCUUUCAGCAGGGACGAAGCGCAAGUGACGGUACCUGCAGAAGAAGCACCGGCCAACUACGUG
rnacentral:rRNA from 1 species